UUUGACUGAAAAGGAUUGGCUAUUUGGUUUGAUGUUACAAAGUAAUCUCUUUAACCCAAUGAAAAGUGGUGGCAAAGUGUUUGUUCAACCUGAUUAUAAUCAGAGUAAAGAACAACAAAGGGAGAUUACUAUGAGGAGAAUUGGUUACCUUCUUGAACAUGGGGUUUUCAAGAAAUGGCUUACUGGUAAUGGACCUGUAGAUGAGUUGAGGAAAUUGGCUCUCUUGGAAUGUCUUGCUAUCUUUGAUCAUUCUCUUGCUAUCAAGACUGGUGUCCAUUUUUUCCUAUGGUAUGUUUUUUUUUCCUUCUGUAACUUUUAUUUUGAUCGUUGAUUUGUUGUACUUGAGCUAAGGGCAAGGUUGUCUUUUUCUAGAAUGUUUUUGUUUUGAGCUGGGGUUUUAUGGGAAAUAACCUUUCUACCUCACCUUUGAGGCAGUGUUGGACUAAGAAUUUAGGAAUUGUGGGUGUUAAAAGGUUCGAACACACAUAUUGACGUUUAAGUAUUAAGGUUCCGCCUAAAAACUAAAACGUCCAGCUAUCUUCUUGACUUAUUGAGUGUUUUUCUAAACCUUAUACCAAAUUUAAUGCAUUUUUAAUAUAAUUAUAUCUAGUCUGUAUUGAAUUUAAUGGGUGCCGGAGCACCAAAAGAUUGGCUAUAGGUCGUCCUUGCUCUGAAGUAGUAGUAUGGGUUACGUACACUCUACCCUUUCUAGACUCCGCUUUGUGGGAAUACAUGGGUAUGUUAUUGUUGUUGUUGUUGUUGUUGAAUAAGUUGCUUUUUUUGUUAGCUGUCAAAUGAAUCCUAAUUGUUUAUUAUUGUUGUUGUUUAUCAACUAUGAGACAAAGUAAUCUGACAUUUUUUAUUAUUAUUAAUCACCUACCCCACCAACCAAACAACUUGGACUAUAACUAAGUAGCCAGAUCAGUUAGAUCAAUGGUGAGUUUAUUUUCUUGAUUUUGUCAUACAAAGUCAAUCAAACUUUCCAUCAUCCUCUUCUUCAAUGGAGAAAGUGAAUUUCAGAAUAAAAGUCCUCAGCAGGCACCUAAACCAAGAAACACCAACACCCAAGUUUACUGUCCAAUCAUUUCCAUGUCUUAGCUACAAACAGCCUGAGCUUUCUGAACCAUCUGCUGUUUUCGACAUAAAAGAGAUGAGAAAACUCAUGGAUGGUCACAACUUGGAGGAAAGGGACUGGCUUUAUGGUCUGAUGUUACAAAGCAAUCUUUUUAAUCCAAUAGAAAGGGGUGGCAAAGUGUUUGUUUUCCCUGAUUACAGUCAGUCUAAGGAACAACAAAGGGAAAUUACCAUGAGGAGAAUUGGAUACCUUCUUGAACGUGGGGUUUUCAAGCGAUGGCUUACUGGUGAUGGGCCAGAA
rnacentral:lncRNA from 1 species